UGAGGAAUAUUGGACAAUGGGCGCAAGCCUGAUCCAGCCAUGCCGCGUGAGUGACGAAGGCCUUAGGGUUGUAAAGCUCUUUUGUGCGGGAAGAUAAUGACGGUACCGCAAGAAUAAGCCCCGGCUAACUUCGUGCCAGCAGCCGCGGUAAUACGAAGGGGGCUAGCGUUGCUCGGAAUCACUGGGCGUAAAGGGUGCGUAGGCGGGUCUUUAAGUCAGAGGUGAAAUCCUGGAGCUCAACUCCAGAACUGCCUUUGAUACUGAGGAUCUUGAGUUCGGGAGAGGUGAGUGGAACUGCGAGUGUAGAGGUGAAAUUCGUAGAUAUUCGCAAGAACACCAGUGGCGAAGGCGGCUCACUGGCCCGAUACUGACGCUGAGGCGCGAAAGCCAGGGGAGCAAACGGGAUUAGAUACCCCGGUAGUCCCUGAGCGGGCUGGCAAGGCGCAU
rnacentral:rRNA from 1 species